GAUGAACGCUGGCGGCGUGCCUAAUACAUGCAAGUCGAGCGCACAGACGAGGAGCUUGUUCCUUGGACGUUUGCGGCGGACGGGUGAGUAACGUGUGGAUCACCUACCUAUAAGACUGGGAUAUCUUCGGGAAACUGGCGAUAAUACCGUAUAAUAUAUUGAACCGUAUGGUUCAAUAGAGAAAGACGGUUUUGCUGUUACUUAUAGAUCGAUCGGCGUCGAAUUAGCUAGUUGGUAAGGUAACGGCUUACCAAGGCAACAAUUCGUAGCCGACCUAGGGGGUGGAUCGGCAACACGGGACCUGGAACACGCUCCAGACUCCUACGGGGGGCGCAAGUGGGGAACCUUCGGCAAUGGCCGAAGGCCUGACGGGCCAACGCCGCUGGGUGAAUGAAGUUCUCCGAAUCUAAAAACCCGGUUAUUAGGGAGAAACAAUGGUGGAAUGAACAAUUCACGUCUUGACGGUACCUAAUCAGAAAGCCACGGCUAACUACGUG
rnacentral:rRNA from 1 species